rnacentral:lncRNA from 1 species
AUGCGAUGGGCACAGCCAAAACCAAAUGAAAGGAACAAACAAAACCCAAAAAACCAAAACAUCUUCCACGAAAAGACGACAAAGCUCUGUCUCGCCUCCCAUCACAACUGUUGCCUCAACAGACGACCCCCGCCCCUGCCACGUGCGGGCUUAGAACCCGUAUUUCGCUGGGGGCUGUGUGGUCAGGAGGGUGGGCUGAGCGCAGCUGGAGGCCAAGCCCUGCCAGGGGUGCGCAGGGGGCCGGGGCUGCGAGCUCAGGAGGCCCUCCAGAAGCUUCCUACACAGGGCGGCUGGGCAGCUGGGCGGCCAGGGUACCCGUCCCGAGGGCAAGGCUUCCAAGGGGCCUAUCUGGGACUGCCACCCGCCCGGGUGCCUCCCGGCGUCACCGUCGAAGCCCCAACGGGGCCCAGUCUCCAGAGGAGGGGCUUCGACCUGCCGGCCACUCUCCCCACACCGCCCCUGCCCCGGGACCCUGCGCAGGAGCCCGCCGGGGGCGCCUCCCCGAGGCAGAGGCUUGGGUGGGACGUGUCCGCCUCAGGCAAAGGGCAAGCAGGUGCUUUGGCACGUGGGGGAGAAGCCAACGACAAGAGGCGACGCUCCCACAGCCACAUUAACCGCGCACGACAGACCGGGGGACACGGGCCGCGGCUCUCACAGGUCAGGGCUCAGAUACCAGGAACCCAGAACACCAAGGAGAAAAGAGCCCCACCCGCCCAGAGACCCGCGGAAACCCGGCCCGAGGCGCGAACACCCCGUCCUCGUGGAACCCGAGGCCCAGAGCCCCAGAGACGAGACGCCACCCAGCUCCACCCCAGUGAGAGAGACGUGACACAAACACACGGCGAUGGCCACCCCCGCCCGGGACCCCCCCCCCAGUGUGCCGACACUGUCGCCUGGGAGGUGGUGGAAGCAGGCAGGACGGGCCGCGGGACAGGGCCACCCCGGGGGCACUUGGGCAAAGCCACGCACGCACUGUCCUUUCGGCCUAGAAAGCCCACUUAUAAGACGCUGGCCCACGACACGCUUGAAAAUACACGAAAACCCUGA